UGGGACAAGGAAAUAGAUCUUGAGUGCUGAUCUGCACCUCUAGUAUCUAUUAUGCCACUUAUGCAGAAACCUCUAGUUGACCACUGCCAGAAGAUCAGGGGAGUACAGAGUCCAAUAUUCUACAGUGUCAUAUGUUAGCAAAGUUCUGCUAGUGAAAUCAGGUAGUGUAAAUACAAACUCACUUUAUCAUUUCAGUUGAUCCUAGUCAUGAAGGUCCAGGAGAAAAAGCACAAGCAUUACUAAAAGGUAUUCCUUGGUAAAUCUAGCAAAUGUUCUCAUGCAAGCACCUUUAUAGUAUUCAAUUUUCUAUGAUGUUUAUUACAACAGGAAGCUAGUAUAGUUAGAGGCUGAGGUCAAUGAUGGUCACAUCUGAAAUCAUUAAACUGCUACUGAUCUAGAGAGGUGUUUAUUUCAUGGUAUGAAACUAGAGUCAAAAUCAUUUCAGGCAACUGAGUCAUAAGGGAAAGAGUGUCAACUGACACUCAUGAAACACCGUGUUAGACUAAAUAUGAUAGUUUCCUUGACACAACUUCAAUAGUGUCCUAAGAGGCAGAAACACCGUGUUAGAAUAUAUCAAUGUGUUUUCAUGUCCAAAACAGAAACUACCUGACAACUAAAAGAUAAAAAAGGGCUGGCCACAUACAUACAAAGUUUCUAAGUGUCCUAAGAGGCAGUCGCAACCAGAACAAGCAGCAUAGUCUUCUGCCAUAUUAUAUUUAUGCUACUCAAAGCCUAGCUACCUUCUCUUUCAGUUUGCAAAUAGUUAUAAUGGUGGUUGGGUAGCAAAUAAUAUUUCACAGCAAAAUGAUCUAUGAGGUCACAUUUUCUAAAUUUAACAAAAGAAUAUCAGAAUUGUUGCCUAAAAAUUAACUUAUGGGACAAGGAAAUAGAUCUUGAGUGCUGAUCUGCACCUCUAGUAUCUAUUAUGCCACUUAUGCAGAAACCUCUAGUUGACCACUGCCAGAAGAUCAGGGGAGUACAGAGUCCAAUAUUCUACAGUGUCAUAUGUUAGCAAAGUUCUGCUAGUGAAAUCAGGUAGUGUAAAUACAAACUCACUUUAUCAUUUCGGUUGAUCCUAAUCAUGAAGGUCCAGGAGAAAAAGCACAAGCAUUACUAAAAGGUAUUCCUUGGUAAAUCUAGCAAAUGUUCUCAUGCAGGCACCUUUAUAUUAUUCAAUUUUGUAUGAUGUUUAUUACAAUAGGAAGCUAGUAUAGUUAGAGGCUGAGGUCAAUGAUGGUCACAUCUGAAAUCAUUAAACUGCUACUGAUCUAGAGAGGUGUUUAUUUCAUGGUAUGAAACUAGAGUCAAAAUCAUUUCAGGCAACUGAGUCAUAAGGGAAAGAGUGUCAACUGAUACUCAUGAAACACCGUGUUAGACUAAAUAUGAUAGUUUCUUUGACACAACUUCAAUAGUGUCCUAAGAGGCAGAAACACCAUGUUAGAAUAUAUCAGUGUGUUUUCAUGUCCAAAACAGAAACUACCUGACACCUAAAAGAUAAAAAAGGGCUGGCCACAUACAUACAGCGUUUCUUAGUGUCCUAAGAGGCAGUCGCAACCAGAACAAGCAGCAUAGUCUUCUGCCAUAUUAUAUUUAUGCUACUCAAAGCCUAGCUACCUUCUCUUUCAGUUUGCAAAUAGUUAUAAUGGUGAUUGGGUAGCAAAUAAUAUUUCACAGCAAAAUGAUCUAUGAGGUCACAUUUUCUAAAUUUAACAAAAGAAUAUCAGAAUUGUUGCCGAAAAAUUAACUUAUGGGACAAGGAAAUAGAUCUUGAGUGCUGAUCUGCACCUCUAGUAUCUAUUAUGCCACUUAUGCAGAAACCUCUAGUUGACCACUGCCAGAUGAUCAGGGGAGUACAGAGUCCAAUAUUCUACAGUGUCAUAUGUUAGCAAAGUUCUGCUAGUGAAAUCAGGUAGUGUAAAUACAAACUCACUUUAUCAUUUCGGUUGAUCCUAGUCAUGAAGGUCCAGGAGAAAAAGCACAAGCAUUACUAAAAGGUAUUCCUUGGUAAAUCUAGCAAAUGUUCUCAUGCAGGCAC
rnacentral:lncRNA from 1 species